rnacentral:rRNA from 1 species
UACGGAGGAUCCGAGCGUUAUCCGGAUUUAUUGGGUUUAAAGGGUGCUCAGGCGGGCCAUUAAGUCGGCGGUGAAAUUUUGCGGCUCAACCGUAAAAGUGCCUUCGAUACUGGUGGUCUUGAGUGUGGAUGAGGUAGGCGGAAUUUGUGGUGUAGCGGUGAAAUGCAUAGAUAUCACGAGGAACUCCGAUUGCUAAGGCAGCUUACUAAACUACUACUGACGCUCAUGCACGAAGGCGUGGGUAUCAAACAGGAUUAGAUACCCUGGUA